rnacentral:rRNA from 1 species
GCAAUAUUCCGUAGUCGGAGCGGCGCAAGGGUGCGUAACACGUGGGUAAUCUGCCAUGAAGUUUGGAAUAACUCGCUGAAAGGCGAGCUAAUGCCGGAUGUGAAAGCUGGGAGGCAUCUCUUGGUUUUCAAAGCUGGGGACCGUAAGGCCUGGCGCUUCAUGAUGAGCCCGCGGCCUAUCAGCUAGUUGGUAAGGUAACGGCUUACCAAGGCUAAGACGGGUAGCUGGUCUGAGAGGACGACCAGCUACACUGGAACUGAGACACGGUCCAGACACCUACGGGUGGCAGCAGUCGAGAAUUUUCACAAUGGGCGCAAGCCUGAUGGAGCGACGCCGCGUGGGGGAUGAAUGGCUUCGGCCCGUAAACCCCUGUCAUUUGCGAUCAACCGUUGUUAUUUAAAAGAUGACAGCCUGAUAG